GCCUCUGUAGCUUAGUUGGUGGAGCAGUCGGCUGUUAACCGACAGGUCGCCAGUUCGAGUCUGGCCAGAGGCG
rnacentral:tRNA from 1 species